rnacentral:rRNA from 1 species
CCUGAACGCUGGCGGCGUGGCUAAGACAUGCAAGUCGCACGGUGUAGCAAUACACAGUGGCGAACGGGUGAGUAAUGAAUCGCUAAUGUACCCCGGACUCUGGGAUAGCUGCCCGAAAGGGCAGGUAAUACCAGAUGAUAUAACCGCUCCGCAUGGAGUGGUUCUCAAACGGUCCGCCGGUCUGGGAGCAGGCGAUUUCGUAUCAGCUUGNGGUGAGGUAAUGGCUCACCAAGGCGACGACGCGUAGCCGGACUGAGAGGUUGGCCGGCCACAUUGGGACUGAGACACUGCCCAGACUCCUACGGGGGCUGCAAGUAACGAAUCUUCCGCAAUGCACGAAAGUGUGACGGAGCGACGCCGCGUGU